UGGCUCAGAGGUUAAAGCGUCUGCCUUCAAUUCAGGAGACCCGGGUUCGAUCCCUGG
rnacentral:tRNA from 1 species